UAGGCAAAUCCGUGCACUGAAAGCCUGAGGCGUGAUGCGGAGUGAGCAGAGAUGCGAGCGAAGUUGUUGACCCCACACUGUCGAGAAAAGCUUCUAGUGAGAGAGCUACCGCCCGUACCGUAAACCGACACAGGUAUGCGGGGAGAGAAUCCUAAGGUGCGCGGGAGAACCCUCGUUAAGGAACUCGGCAAAAUGUACCCGUAACUUCGGGAUAAGGGUAGCCACUGUUGUGAAGUCCCAUGCGGAUGGAGCAUAGAGUGGUCGCAGAGAAGAGGCCCAAGCGACUGUUUACCAUAAACACAGGUGCCUGCUAAAGCGAAAGCUGACGUAUAGGUGCUGACACCUGCCCAGUGCCGGAAGGUUAAGGAAGGAUGUUCGGAUUAGUCCAAAGCAUUCGACUGAAGCCCCGGUGAACGGCGGCCGUAACUAUAACGGUCCUAAGGUAGCGAAAUUCCUUGUCGGGUAAGUUCCGACCCGCACGAAAGGUGUAACGAUUUGGGCACUGUCUCAACGAGGGACCCGGUGAAAUUGAAAUACCUGUGAAGAUGCAGGUUACCCGCGACUGGACAGAAAGACCCCAUGGAGCUUUACUGUAACCUGACAUUGGGUUUUGAUACAUUACGUACAGGAUAGGUGGGAGGCUUGGAAAGUUGGACGCUAGUCUGACUGGAGCCGACGUUGGGAUACCACCCUUGAUGUAUUGAAAUUCUAACCGCGAGAGUAACGAAAUCCGGGACAGUGUCAGGCGGGCAGUUUGACUGGGGCGGUCGCCUCCGAAAGAGUAACGGAGGCGCCCAAAGGUUCCCUCAGCGCGGCCGGAAAUCGCGCGAAGAGUGUAAAGGCAGAAGGGAGCUUGACUGCGAGUCAAACACGACGAGCAGGUACGAAAGUAGGGCUUAGUGAUCCGGUGGUACCGAGUGGAAGGGCCAUCGCUCAACGGAUAAAAGCUACCCUGGGGAUAACAGGCUAAUCUCUCCCAAGAGUCCAUAUCGACGGGGAGGUUUGGCACCUCGAUGUCGGCUCAUCACAUCCUGGGGCUGAAGUCGGUCCCAAGGGUUGGGCUGUUCGCCCAUUAAAGUGGUACGUGAGCUGGGUUCAGAACGUCGUGAGACAGUUCGGUCCCUAUCCAUCGCGGGCGCAAGAGAUUUGAAGGGGGCUGCUCCUAGUACGAGAGGACCGGAGUGGACGAACCGCUGGUGUACCAAUUAUCCCGCCAGGGGUACAGUUGGGUAGCUACGUUCGGAAAGGAUAAACGCUGAAAGCAUCUAAGCGUGAAACCAGCCUUAAGAUGAGAUCUCUCAUAGAGCAAUCUAGUAAGACACCUUAAAGAAGAUGAGGUUGAUAGGUCGGGAGUGUAAGUACAGCAAUGUAUUGAGCGGACCGAUACUAAUAUGUCGAGGGCUUGACUUA
rnacentral:rRNA from 1 species